CCUCGGGGCAGGAAGCUAUCAGCCCAGACCAGCCUGGCUAAGAACCAGCUUCUAAAACUGACCUCUUCUCCCCAGCCCAAGGCUGAAGGGGCUGUGGAGGCUCCUGGGCUGCCCUUGAGGCUCUCCUGCCUCUGGCACUCGGGCACCUGCGGCCCCCCCGACAGGGCUGUACAGCUGGCUGGCUGGAAGUCAGAAAUGCCUGCCUGGAACUCCGCACUCUGACUCCACAGGAUGGGGAAAGGGGCUUCAAGAAGUGGUGGAACCUGCCCAGAUAACAAAGCCAGUGAGAGACAGGACUGUCUGGCUCUUCAGUAGCCCCAAGCCCCAAAAAUCUGGCCCGCAAGAGUCUGCUGUGAUCACAACAUGAUGCCAUAUCUAAACGCAACACCAGUGCGGAGGGUAAAAGUGAGGCGCAGAGAGGCAGAGUCACGUGCCCAGGCUGCCAACGCGGGCUGACAGGACCCGGCCAGGAUCUAAACUCGGGGCUCUCAGGCUCCACUCAACAGAAGACAAAUGGUUAACCUAUCCCAUCAGACCCUCAAGGGAGGGCCUACGACACCCUCUGCCUCGAAUCCCCUCCCCCUCCCCCUGACUCUAAGUCUGGUUUACAAUUUCACUGGGGUCUUUUACACACUGAUGCAUCUGUUGGUCAGAAGGAGCAGUCCUAGGGGGACAGAAACAAAAGGUCCCAGGAGUUCAAGUCCUAGCUCCUCUAUCUAAUCUCCGCGGCCACACAGCCAAUCCCUUCGCUUCCCUGAGCCUCAGCUGCCCUGGCAAGCUGGGGUUCAUAAUUCCUACCUCACAGUAUUGGUGUGAGGUCUACAUGGGAUAGCAGAUGCUACAGUUCAUGAGAAGCUGCAAACAUCAGAUCUUACUUGUUUUGUGAAAUUCUGAAAAACAUCUUCCUCCAAGGAGGUCAGGGUAGGAUGCAAAGUACUCACCACUCCU